rnacentral:rRNA from 1 species
AACGAACGCUAGCGGCAUGCCUAACACAUGCAAGUCGAACGAGACCUUCGGGUCUAGUGGCGCACGGGUGCGUAACGCGUGGGAACCUGCCCUUAGGUUCGGAAUAACCCCCCGAAAGGGGUGCUAAUACCGGAUAAUGUCUUCGGACCAAAGAUUUAUCGCCUUUGGAUGGGCCCGCGUUGGAUUAGCUAGUUGUUAGGGUAAAAGCCUACCAAGGCGACGAUCCAUAGCUGGUCUGAGAGGAUGAUCAGCCACACUGGGACUGAGACACGGCCCAGACUCCUACGGGAGGCAGCAGUGGGGAAUAUUGGACAAUGGGCGAAAGCCUGAUCCAGCAAUGCCGCGUGAGUGAUGAAGGCCUUAGGGUUGUAAAGCUCUUUUACCCGGGAUGAUAAUGACAGUACCGGGAGAAUAAGCUCCGGCUAACUCCGUG